CUGGCCCGGGAUUCUGGAGCCCGGCCACUGGGCUGGAUGUGGGUAAAUGAUUAGGCCGCCUGGCAGGCCAGAGAUUCCUGAUUCCCGAUGCCCCGAUUCCUGCUGGCUUCCUCCGUCGAAGAAGCGCUGAAUCGAAAUCAAAUUAAACUCGGUGGUGUUUCUCCCAGUUGCGUGUGUGUGUUUCCCGAUGGACUGCGGAGUGGAGUGGUGUGGAGUGGACCACUGGACGACUGGACGAUGAAGGAGGAGGAACGCAUUGUAUAUUUUGCAAUUUGAACAGCCGCUAGUUGCCGGUACACAGACGUUUAUAAUUCGCAAAGGUGUGCGUGGUGGUGGUGUGAAACAAAUUAAUAUCCGCUUAACUGCUACAAAUAUCAUUAGGCAUCUUGUGCACACAAAAACACACGUAAGACCACUAAUUUGAAUCGGCCGAAAUACAGAUGGGCUCGUGACAAAGUACCGAUUACUAUUCGUUCCGAUCACUCUAAGUAUUCACAACCUUUGAAAUCCGUCUUUGAUGUGCCGGCAAUAACAAAAAACAUGAUGGUUUUGUUAAUGGAUUUCUAUAAAGGCUUCCGACUGUUAAAAGACCCGACUGGAGGAGAACACCCGUGGCGAUAAUUUAAAGCCACUGUCUAAGCCAGCAUACCUUUCCAUACCCUUGCGUGGGGUAUGGUAGUUUUGACCAACUGACUGCAAUCGGCAUAGGAAAGCCGUCUCGACUCUGGGAGGCUUAUAUCUCGUUCCGAACUAGCUUCGGGGGAUCCUCUUCCAAUUUCAAUUGGUCAAAUUCAGGACAAUCCACUUCAAUAUCUGCCUACUUUUGUUAUAACCAAGAGAUACAGGUAAACGAGUGUCGAAUGCAAGAACGACUAGAAGGAUUGCUAAUAAGAGGGCACCGCAGUAUUAAACGGCUCCAAGCGAUUAAUCCUAAAUUAAAUGCCUGCACGCGGAGGACGCCGAGCAGUACCGUCGCAGGAGCACAGGAACAGGAACUGGAACUAAACACCCGUGGGGGGCACGGUGGCGAUACGACAUGACGAUGUGAUAUGGGCCAGAUAGCGACGAGAAGCGACGGCAAACAAGAUCGCGCCAACUGUCGGCAAUAAACUCUGCGCAAGAACUACUACGCUCGUUAUAAGCUCCGGCGACGACACUGGCUUUGGCGCUGGCCUGGCACUGGCACUGGCACUGGAUGUAAAAAGCACUCUCACUGAGGUUUCCUCUGCCUUCCUGCCGGCUGCCUGCCGCCUGCCCGCCUGGCAAAUUACCAUCAAAAGCUGAAUACGAAUACGUGAGUGGUAGUGGCUCUAUAGAGGCUAUGGGCUUCGAGGGGGCUAUAAAGCCCGAGCGAACUUGGGGCGAAGAUAGCGAUAGAGCGGGAACAAAACAAACGACAACAA